rnacentral:rRNA from 1 species
UACGGAGGAUGCAAGCGUUAUCCGGAAUUAUUGGGCGUAAAGCGUCCGCAGGUGGCUAUGUAAGUCUGCUGUUAAAGAGUGAGGCUCAACCUCAUAAGAGCAGUGGAAACUACAUGGCUAGAGUGCGUUCGGGGCAGAGGGAAUUCCUGGUGUAGCGGUGAAAUGCGUAGAGAUCAGGAAGAACACCGGUGGCGAAAGCGCUCUGCUAGGCCGCAACUGACACUGAGGGACGAAAGCUAGGGGAGCGAAUGGG